rnacentral:rRNA from 1 species
UGCAAGUCGAACGAUGAAGCCGGGUGCUUGCACCGGGUGGAUUAGUGGCGAACGGGUGAGUAUCACGUGAGUAACCUGCCCUUGACUCUGGGAUAAGCCUGGGAAACUGGGUCUAAUACCGGAUAUGACCAGUCCUCGCAUGGGGUGCUGGUGGAAAGAUUUAUCGGUCUUGGAUGGACUCGCGGCCUAUCAGUUUGUUGGUGAGGUAAUGGCUCACCAAGGCGAUGACGGGUAGCCGGCCUGAGAGGGUGACCGGCCACACUGGGACUGAGACACGGCCCAGACUCCUACGGGAGGCAGCAGUGGGGAAUAUUGCACAAUGGGCGCAAGCCUGAUGCAGCGACGCCGCGUGCGGGAUGACGGCCUUCGGGUUGUAAACCGCUUUCAGCAGGGAAGAAGCUUUUUGUGACGGUACCUGCAGAAGAAGCGCCGGCUAACUACGUGCCAGCAGCCGCGGUAAUACGUAGGGCGCGAGCGUUAUCCGGAAUUAUUGGGCGUAAAGGGCUCGCAGGCGGUUUGCCACGUCUGCUGUGAAAGCCCGGGGCUUAACUCCGGGUGUGCAGUGGGUACGGGUAGACUAGAGUGCAGUAGGGGAGACUGGAAUUCCUGGUGUAGCGGUGAAAUGCGCAGAUAUCAGGAAGAACACCGAUGGCGAAGGCAGGUCUCUGGGCUGUUACUGACGCUGAGGAGCGAAAGCAUGGGGAGCGAACAGGAUUAGAUACCCUGGUAGUCCAUGCCGUAAACGUUGGGCACUAGGUGUGGGGGACAUUCCACGUUUUCCGCGCCGUAGCUAACGCAUUAAGUGCCCCGCCUGGGGAGUACGGCCGCAAGGCUAAAACUCAAAGGAAUUGACGGGGGCCCGCACAAGCGGCGGAGCAUGCGGAUUAAUUCGAUGCAACGCGAGAACCUUACCAAGGCUUGACAUGGAC